GCACCGAUAGUCUAGAGGUAGGACAUUGCUUUCCCACCUAAAAUGGAAAUAAUUUCCAUUGUGUCAAGCAACAGCCCGGGUUCGAACCCCGGUCGGUGCA
rnacentral:tRNA from 1 species